UACAGAGGUCCCAAGCGUUGUUCGGAUUCACUGGGCGUAAAGGGUGCGUAGGUGGUCAGGUAAGUCGGAUGUGAAAUCUCCGAGCUCAACUCGGAAACUGCAUUGGAAACUACCUGGCUCGAGGGUUGGAGGGGGGACUGGAAUGCUUGGUGUAGCAGUGAAAUGCGUAGAUAUUGGCUGGAACACCGGUGGCGAAGGCGGGUCUCUGGGCCGAUACUGACGCUGAGGAGCGAAAGCGUGGGGAGCGAACAGG
rnacentral:rRNA from 1 species